rnacentral:rRNA from 1 species
AUGAACGCUAGCGGCAGGCUUAACACAUGCAAGUCGAGGGGUAACAGGAGAGCUUGCUCUUGCUGACGACCGGCGCACGGGUGCGUAACACGUAUGCAACCUACCUUUUACUGGAGGAUAACUCGGAGAAAUUCGGGCUAAUACUGCGUAUUAUCUUGGAGAGGCAUCUUUUCAGGAUGAAAGAUUUAUUGGUAAGAGAUGGGCAUGCGUCCUAUUAGCUAGUUGGUGAUGGUAAUGGCACACCAAGGCGACGAUAGGUAGGGGUUCUGAGAGGGAUAUCCCCCANACUGGUACUGAGACACGGACCAGACUCCUACGGGAGCAGCAGUGAGGAAUAUUGGACAAUGGGCGAAGCCUGAUCCAGCCAUGCCGCGUGCAGGAUGACGGCCCCUAUGGGUUGUAAACUGCUUUUAUACGGGGAAGAAUAAGGAGUAUGCGUACUCUGAUGACGGUACCGUAGGAAUAAGCAUCGGCUAACUCCGU